rnacentral:rRNA from 1 species
CAGCAGCCGCGGUAAUACAGAGGGUUCAAGCGUUAAUCGGAAUUACUGGGCGUAAAGCGCGCGUAGGUGGUUUGUUAAGUUGGAUGUGAAAUCCCCGGGCUCAACCUGGGAACUGCAUCCAAAACUGGCAAGCUAGAGUAUGGUAGAGGGUGGUGGAAUUUCCUGUGUAGCGGUGAAAUGCGUAGAUAUAGGAAGGAACACCAGUGGCGAAGGCGACCACCUGGACUGAUACUGACACUGAGGUGCGAAAGCGUGGGGAGCAAACAGGAUUAGAUACCCGAGUAGUCCCUGUCUCUUAUAC